CACGUAGGGCGCAAGCGUUGUCCGGAAUUACUGGGCGUAAAGAGCUCGUAGGUGGUUUGUCGCGUUGUUCGUGAAAACUCACAGCUCAACUGUGGGCGUGCGGGCGAUACGGGCAGACUGGAGUACUGCAGGGGAGACUGGAAUUCCUGGUGUAGCGGUGGAAUGCGCAGAUAUCAGGAGGAACACCGGUGGCGAAGGCGGGUCUCUGGGCAGUAACUGACGCUGAGGAGCGAAAGCAUGGGGAGCGAACAGG
rnacentral:rRNA from 1 species